CCAAAACUGGAAUUUAGGAGCGUUUUAGUGCACGUCGUUUUGUGCACGAAACGUGCACGGCAUAGGCGCAAAACGUGCACGUUGGAUGGUGCGCAAACGCUCAUGCUCGGUUAUCGCAUACAUGCGUAACAAAAAUAGUAUCUGGAUACAAAGAUCGACCACUGAACUGCUCGACGAUGGAACUCGAACAAACUGCGAAUGAUGGUGCACGCACACAAGUACUGUAUGGAAUGUACAAACAGAUUCCGUACAGUAUAACCAACACUCAAGUGUGUGUGACCAAAAUCAUCUUGUAUCAGUUUGUUUUCAACCAUCGUCGUCGGUUCACGGUUUGCGGAAUCAAUCGCGAAUAUUUUACGAAUUAAAAUAGUUUUAAUAUAAAUGUUUGUUUUAAAUAAAGUGCAAGAAGUGAUUUCGGUGAAUACGUUUUAAAAACACCGUCGGACCGGUCGUCAUCAGCGGUGGCGCGGCGCGGCGGCGGUGGUGGCGAUAAUUGUUUUUGUUAUUUCGAUUUGGGGAAGUGGCUCAUCUGUCAGCAGCAUGCUGAUAAAGUGAAGGGCUUUUUUUCUUAAUCUACAAAAAAUAUAGCAUGCAGCCGGAAGUGAAAUUGGCAUGCAGAAGUGAACGGUCUGAGUCGACCAGUGUUAUAAUGAAAAAAAAAUAAAUAGUGAAAAUUGAAAUGAGCAGUGAUAAUGCCACCUAAGGGCACCGAUAGUUACGUGCGAAAUUGAAAGUGCGCGUGCGUGAAGCCGGAAAGAAAGUAUCAACAACAGCAAAUCCUUUGGACGUGCCCCCCACUCUACCUUUCAUGCGGCACUAUGGCAGCGCAGUAGCAAGAAAAUUAUUGGAAUAAAUAGGUGCAUGUGUGGGGAGGGAGGUGGUAGUGUUUCAUUACCAAAUUUCAAGUGAGUGAAGAAUUUGAAAGUAAUGAAGGAAGGCAGUGUGAAGUUGAGGAGGAUUUAAACCUAAGAUCGCUCAAGUCCAGAAGGAUUGGAAACGGUCGGCGUGUGAC